GACGAACGCUGGCGGCGUGCCUAAUACAUGCAAGUAGAACGCACAGUUUAUACCGUAGCUUGCUACACCAUAGACUGUGAGGUGCGAACGGGUGAGUAACGCGUAGGUAACCUGCCUGGUAGCGGGGGAUAACUAUUGGAAACGAUAGCUAAUACCGCAUAAUAUUAAUUAUUGCAUGAUAAUUAAUUGAAAGGUGCAAUUGCACCACUACCAGAUGGACCUGCGUUGUAUUAGCUAGUAGGUGAGGUAACGGCUCACCUAGGCGACGAUACAUAGCCGACCUGAGAGGGUGAUCGGCCACACUGGGACUGAGACACGGCCCAGACUCCUACGGGAGGCAGCAGUAGGGAAUCUUCGGCAAUGGACGAAAGUCUGACCGAGCAACGCCGCGUGAGUGAAGAAGGUUUUCGGAUCGUAAAGCUCUGUUGUAAGAGAAGAACGGGUGUGAGAGUGGAAAGUUCACACUGUGACGGUAUCUUACCAGAAAGGGACGGCUAACUACGUG
rnacentral:rRNA from 1 species